AACGUAGCGAAAUGCGAUACUUGGUGUGAAUUGCAGAAUCCCGUGAACCAUCGAGUCUUUGAACGCAAGUUGCGCCCGAAGCCAUUAGGCCGAGGGCACGUUUGCCUGGGCGUCACGCAUCGCGUCUCCCCCGCACACCUGUGGUGCGGGGGAYGGAUACU
rnacentral:rRNA from 1 species